UCGUGUUCUCCAAGGCAGCCAUAUUUGUGUCAAAGAAAAGUCGGGCUUAUGAUUUAAUCGGUGCUGGGGCUUUAACUGCUAUUGCCAGAAACCUAGAGUCUUUUGAGUUUUGAAGUUAUUGCUGAUAGUUUGUUAGUUGAGUGGCCAGAUAAGAGAAGAAACUGAGCAAGGCGACCUUUCCAGUUGUUUUUGCAGUCAAUCUGUGCACCAGCUUUGCUGCCAGCACUCUGAGCUUGGCAACUGAUACAGCCACCAAGGAAGACAAGAACAGAUUACCAGUUGGUUUCAAACAUGUCCAGUGUCCAGCACCAGCGUAAGGUCGUAGAACAGCUACGUCGCGAGGCACAGUUACAGCGCAAGCCAGUGUCGGCAGGGACGCGCAAUAUCAUUAAUUAUUGCAAUCAAAACAUGAGCAGUGAUGCUCUCGUUGUUGGGUUUGCUUCCCCGAAAGAAAAUCCAUUCAAAGAAAAGAGCAGCUGUGUAAUACUAUAGGGAUGAACAGAAACUGGCUUUCAUGGGACUUUUUUUUCUUUUGCUGUGUCUGGGUUAUGUCCUCUAGUCAUACCCUCACCACCAGUAUAACAACUUCUGAGCUAACCAAGUUUUAUAAGACAAUGAUAUAAAUAUAUAUAUAUAAAUAUAUUGUCCCCAUAUGUUGGAUGUAUAUGAAUUUCUAUGUAUUAGCCUUGGGAGGUUUAUAUUUUGUAUCUGACUGAAGUAAAGAUAAUCUGAAAUGAAAAAUGUGAUACAAAUCAGAAAUACGGAGAUUAAUUAGAUGCUUAAUUUAAUCUGUAUAUCCUCUGAAAUCCUUGCCCUGAAAAUGUUCUUUUUUCCUACCAAAGAUAAAUAAAGAGUUUCAUUGAUCUUUUCCCUUGCCUCUAUUUAUAAUCUUGAGUCAUUUACCUGAAAAAUGCUAAGAAUAUUUUUCCAGUUUAAUGGAACUUCCCUGCAAUUGUUUCUGUCUAUCAUUAUAGGUGGCAGCACCAGCCUGUCACAAAAAGCAGUCUUGGUAGCUUGUCUUGGUGAACAUACCAUAGCAUGUAUUAAAAUCAACGUAUCCAGUAAUAUUUGUCAGUCAAAUUAACCAGCUUGAAAGUUUAUUGAUAUUUACUCGUCUGAUGUUUGUGUUGUGUAAAAAGCUCUGUCGUUCUCGUGUUUACAAGUGGAAAAGAUAAGGUUUUGUACAUCCCAUGCUGACGAGUUUUAUUUGUAGAUCAAAAUGGCUCUAUGGCCACCAGUUUGUUGCCCACUGCCCAUGGGAGACUAUUCAACUCUUGGUAUUUACUGUCUUUACUCAGGGGCAAGUUACUUUGAAACAUAAAAAAGAAAAAACUUUGUAAGUGACCAUGAAGGUACAGUCCAGUCAAAAAAUUGUCAAAAAAAUUGCAAGUUUUUUCCACUUGUCAUCUUGAACUGAGCUCAAAUCUUUGUCUGCAUCUUGUGUAAUAUUGUAUUGUGGUUUCCAGUGUUCUGUGUAUAUAUCUACUACAGUAUGCUUCUGUACUGAAAUAAACUCUUCUUGGGUGUUUAAAACUUUA